UCCGGGCUCGGUGGCGCGUGCCUGUAGUCCCAGCUACUCGGGAGGCUGGGGUGGGAGGAUCACUUGAGCCCAGGAGUUCUGGGCUGUAGUGCGCUAUGCCGAUCAGGUGUCCCCACUAAGUUUGGCAUCAAUAUGGUGACAUCUCAGGAGUGGGGGACCACCAGGUUGCCUAAGGAGGGGUGAACCAGCUCAGGUUGGAAACGGAGCAGGUCAAAACUCCCGUGCUGAUCAGUAGUGGGAUCGUGCCUGUGAAUAGCCACUACACUCCAGCCUGGGCAACAUAGUGAGACCCUGUCUCAA
ensembl:misc_RNA Metazoa_SRP Metazoan signal recognition particle RNA